AAUGAAGUGCCUGAUUAAAAAGGAUUAUUUUGAUAGAAUAAAGCAUGUAAUUAAAUUACCUUCAUUA
rnacentral:tRNA from 1 species